GUCUACGGCCAUACCACCCUGAAUGCCCCCGAUCUUCUCUGAUCUCAGAAGCUAAGCAGGGUUGGGCCUGGUUAGUACUUGGUAUGGGAGAAAGCAUUAGACAUCAAUCUUGUAAGAAUUUAAAGUUCAAUAGAUU
ensembl:rRNA 5S_rRNA 5S ribosomal RNA